GUAACACGUAUGUAACCUACCUUUAUCAGGGGGAUAGCCUCUCGAAAGAGAGAUUAAGCCCGCAUAACAUUGCGACGUAGCAUUAUGAUGCAAUCAAAUAUUUAUAGGAUAAAGAUGGGCAUGCGGAACAUUAGCUAGUUGGUAAGGUAAUGGCUUACCAAGGCUACGAUGUUUAGGGGAUCUGAGAGGAUGACCCCCAAACUGGUACUGAGGACACGGACCAGAUUCCUACGGGAGGCAGCAGUAAGGAAUAUUGGUCAAUGGGCGCAAGCCUGAACCAGCCAUGCCGGCGUGCAGGAAGACGGCCCUACGGGUCGUAAACUGCUUUUGCAGGGGAAUAAACCCCCGGUCGUGACCGGGGUUGAAUGUACUCUGAGAAUAAGGAUCGGCUAACUCCGUGCCAGCAGCCGCGGUAAUACGGAGGAUCCAAGCGUUAUCCGGAUUUAUUGGGUUUAAAGGGUGCGUAGGCGGCUUGUUAAGUCAGGGGUGAAAGACGGUAGCUCAAUAUCGCAGUGCCUUUGAUACUGAUGAGUUUGAAUGUACUUGAGG
rnacentral:rRNA from 1 species